rnacentral:rRNA from 2 species
CAUCCUUUUCCUCUCGUGAGGGAACGUUGAAGAUGGCUCACGCUAUCACUUACAGAUGGGCCCGCGGCGCAUUAGCUAGUUGGUGAGGUAACGGCUCACCAAGGCGACGAUGCGUAGCCGACCUGAGAGGGUGAUCGGCCACACUGGGACUGAGACACGGCCCAGACUCCUACGGGAGGCAGCAGUAGGGAAUCUUCCGCAAUGGACGAAAGUCUGACGGAGCAACGCCGCGUGAGCGAUGAAGGCCUUCGGGUCGUAAAGCUCUGUUGUUAGGGAAGAACAAGUAUCGGAGUAACUGCCGGUACCUUGACGGUACCUAACCAGAAAGCCACGGCUAACUACGUGCCAGCAGCCGCGGUAAUACGUAGGUGGCAAGCGUUGUCCGGAAUUAUUGUGCGUAAAGCGCGCGCACGCGGUCCUUUAAGUCUGAUGUGAAAGCCCACGGCUCACCGUGCAGGGUCAUUGGAAACUGGCGGACUUGAGUGCUACCAGAAGUGGAAUUCCACGUUAGCGGUGAAAUGCGUAGAGAUGUGCACGAACACCAGUGGCGACGCGACUUUCUGGUCUGUAACUGACGCUUAAGGACGAAGCUUGGGGAGCAACUUGAAUAAAUACCUGGUAUUCCAAGCCGUAAACGAUGAUGCUAAUGUUAACGCUUCCGCCAUUAAUGCGGCGCUACCGAUAAAACACUCUCUCUGGGGAGAACGCCCCACGCUGAAUCCAAAGAAAUCACGGG